UGAGAAAGCUGUCAUAGGCGUUUCAGACAAAAAAGAAAAAAAGAAACAAGAGCUAAAGAAGGAGAAUCACGAUAAGUUACAAAGAGAUUUACAGUAAAGAUCAAAUUGAUGUGCUCUCCUCUGAACUCUGAUGGUAUCAUGAGAGAGACAUAAGGCUUGCUAACAAGGUCUUGAAUGGGGAAGGAAAAACCUCGAAAAACUGAAGGUUUCCGUUGGAUCUCUUGCAUUCUCUGAACCAUUUGGUUUUUGUAAGGGAACUUAUUGUUCCUCUGUGCGUUUUCUUCUUCCAAAGGGUUUUGUUUUUGUUAUCAUACAUUUGCACUUUCAAUAUUGUUAUCAUUUUUGAGUUUUAGCAGGGUAAGUAUGAUAAUAUGAAACUGAGGAAACUUCAUGAUAAAACCCACCGCGAGGAACAUAGAAUCAGAGGUGAAAAAAUCAAAGAAUGGACAUUUGACAAAAAGUAAAACUGCUUCCCUUAAUUCAUCACAUCUAGGAUCAGACUGUUGCAAUAUAUAUCAGAAUCGCGUUGCAGUGUUUAUCAUCUUUUAUUGUUCCUGCUCAUAUAUUUUUUUCUGGCCUUUUUUCCUUUAUAGGAAGAUAUUUCCAUUUGAAAACUAUAUACUUUUAAUUAGUAAACUCUAAGUAUGCUUCAAGAUUUUCAUGUCUUUUUAGUUUCUAUUCUCGAGCGUUUAACCUUUUACUAACGAUCUUUUGUUAAAACCCUUGAUUUUAGUGGCAGCUUCAGUAUGUUUCUGGAGGUAAGCACAGUUCAUCAUCAUUCUAAUGUAUUUUGUGUCCAUUUUUCCACGUCUCUAAAAGACCUAAAACUAAAUCUCACUGAACCAACCUCAUAUCUUAACCUUUUUGGAGUUCUGUGUGAUCAUGAUUUUGUGGUUUCUUUCUCACAGGUUAGCACAUUGGGGUACUUUGGAUCACAUUACCGUGUUAUGAGGAGGAAGCUUGACGAGAUUUAUGACUUGGUAACUGCUUUGAUUUUUAGGGGGUUUCAGAGGCUUACAGAAGAAACCGGUAAGGAAGAAAAUUUUAAAGUAGAAAUAUGUUUAUCAAAUGAUUUCAUUGGUUUGGAUUUCAUUAUCUAUAGUGUAUAGUCCCAGGAAUAAACUACACAUUCUUUUGUGGGUUUGGUGAGAUGUGAAAAUUAUGAAUGGAGCUCAAGUUUCGGUCGUACGAUGCUCUCUUAAUUUUCUAUACUUUUGUACUUAUUCUAUGUAUCAACAUGCACUUAGAAUUCACGUGUUGCAUGGAGUUAUGCCAGAUGAUGUUUCUCGGUAACUCAAUUUUGCUGACCACUAUUCAGCUUUUGGCUUAAUUUAUAUGGUAAUUACUCUCACAUAGUAAUUUGUGCUUCCCCUGAGCUAUAAACCAUACAAGAGUAUGUUGCCAGCAAUCCAGUUGCUUGCGGCUGGAGGUGCAAUGUAUGUGGAAGUUUUCAACAGAGUGAUUCCAUUGGCUUACAACAUCAUAAAGAGGAAUAAAGUCGGAGAAACUAACACUUACUUGGAUGGAACCUACUAUUGUUUCACUCAACCAAACUUGAAUCCAUUACUCCAGUAGAGACUGCUCUACUUCCCGUAACGACGUUAUCCGAGAAUUAGCAUAGUUUAAUAAGUAUAAAAUUGUUUUUGUUAUAGCUGGAUGAGUUAGAUGCAACGAUUUUUGAAUUGUGACUUUAUCAUUAUGCACAUGUUACAUUUCCUUUCUUCUUCUUUUUUUGACUAAUGCAGGUCAUAUUUCUUGAGUCAUGAGAUUCUCUGUUUCUUUGAGGUUAAUUUCUCUGUAAGAUUCAACAAAGCUGCUCGGAUUGUGGUAUGUCUAUCUGUGACUUUCUUUGAUUCAAGAGUUUUCAAUUUGAAUUCCAAGUCGUGUUUCCUUCUCUGAAGGGCAGAAGCUAGGUGCUUUUUUGACAUCCACCAAACCAGGAAUGAAAUUCUUUUAUUCGUGUUUGUUUUUUUUUAAGUUUAAUUAUAUGAUUGAUUCUACCCAAAAAAAAUAAAUAUACAUAUACACAACAGACUGCCCAUGAAUGAAAAUAUUACAAUUGCUAACAAAAUAAAAUAAAUAGAUAUUAUGUAUAACUAAAAUAUAAAUAAGUUGAGUUUUUUUUGAGAAAAAAAUAAAUGAAGUUAAACCGUUUUUAGUAAAAACUCAAAUAUAAAAAUAUAUGAGUAAUGAAUCACAACUAAAGUUUAAUUAACUUUUCAUUGAAUUGCUUACGAGUCUAUAUAUUUUCUGGUAUUAACAAACAAGUUUACAAUUUUGAUACUUCCAAAUUGUUGUGCACGACAAAAAAAAGAAUAAUUUAACAUUUUUAAUGAUUUAUAUUUUCAUAAUCGUUCCACAUAUAUUACGCUAUAUAUAUAUAUUCAAAUAUAAAUGACAAAAUAUUAUAAACUUAAUAAAAUUAUGCAAAUAAAUAUGAGUCGGAAGAUAACUGGUAGUAUAAAUUUAUGACCAUAUUUACAUAUAUGUCAGAAAACAUCAACCAAAACAAUUUUUAAUAUUAUCUACUUCGCCAAAUAGUAUAUAAUUUUAAGAAAAUCAAAACGGACCUAGUAUUAAUAAAAAUAAUAAAUGAUAUGAAAUUGUAGAAGUCAAAUAAAUCUACAAUUUACAAUAAGUGUCCAUCUUUCCUUUGACAAUUGUUCUAAACUCUUUAUACGGUGAGCACCAAUAACAUUGUGCUUCAGAGUCAGGAGACGGUCAUCCUAACAAUCAGAAACAAUUCAACCACAAACAAAGCCAUUUUCAGCGUUCUCUGUGAUUAUGAAUUUAUGGGGCAUAGCCUUAAGUUUAUGUGGUUGACUUAAGAGUUAUGGUCAGCCAUUUUUAAAUCUGAGUUAUGUCUUUGUAUGAGUUACAAAGAAUGUACUCUUAGUCUCUUAUAGCUUUCCAUUAAAAUGUUCCUCUUUUGAUCCUCUCUGCAACUCCACUGUGCACACUCUUCUAUCAUCACAUCUUGGCCGCCAAGAAACCUUUACUUUUUUGUAGUCAAGUCAAAAGCAAUUGUCCCAACAAAGACGUGGUCAAAUAAAAGUCCUCUGUCCUCUAAUCCAACCUCUAUAUAUAUAAACAGCUAAACACACCCACACAUCAAACCAGAGUAAGCAAGAACAAAAGAGAAAACAAAAAUGAUAGAAGGAUCUAAAGUUAUCGUCUUGCCUUUCCCUGGACAAGGCCACCUAACUCCAAUGUCCCAGUUCUGCAAACGCUUAGCCUCAAAUAAUAGAAGAGUGUGCACAGUGGAGUUGCAGAGAGGAUCAAAAGAGGAACAUUUUAAUGGAAAGCUAUAAGAGACUAAGAGUACAUUCUUUGUAACUCAUACAAAGACAUAACUCAGAUUUAAAAAUGGCUGACCAUAACUGUCACAUCCCGGUUCUCCCAAACCAGAAAAGUUUUGUUUUUCUUGAUUAUUAACUUGAUUUAGACCAAAGCCGAUUAGCUUUUAUCCUUUUUUCUGGUCCGUGUAGUAAACCCUAAGGUUUCCUUUUCUUUUCCUAUAAAAAGGAGCCUCCUCAUUCUCUUUUCUCCCAUUAGAAAUCAGAGCGAAGCCUUGCAGAGUUCCAGAGAGAUCUGAAAACCCUAGCCGUGAAGGUUUCUCUUUUCUUCUCUCUCGCCUGCGUCUCUCUCUCUCUCUCUCCUUGGUGUUCGCCGUUUGCUGAAGGCUGGAGCCAAGCCGUUGGAGAUCCCCGAUGAACCGAUCCAAUUCUAUGUCCAGAUCUCUCCUUGUCUUCUUUCUAGAUCUUGUCGCUGGUGAGCACCAAUCCUUUUUGUUGUAGAUCUGGUUCGUGGAAAGCUAUAAGCUUCAGAUCUGGUUCUACUCUCUUUUCCAUUCUCAGAUCUAAGGCCAAGGUGAGGGCUUGUUGCAAUCUCUAUCUCCUUCUAUCAUU